rnacentral:misc_RNA from 1 species
ACCUCUCUCUCUCUCUCCCUCUUCUUUUUUACUGUAAGGGCAUCAUCCCCAAAGUUACUCGGUGCGUGUUACGAGAAACACACAGAGACGAACGAAAAAAAGAGAGAGAGAGAGAGAGAAACACGACGAAAUAGAAAAAGCAGAGAACGAGCGCCCACCGACUUUAGUCUCUUGCGGUUGGUUGUCGGUUGCGGACCUCUCUCUCCCCACUUUUCGUCUCAGAUAUAACACAACAACAGCUAACGAAUUUCCUCAUCAUUCUUACUGAGACUUGUAAAAAAAAAACAAAGUUGGACUAGUUGAAACUUUUUGAUCCAGCGUCGACCUCUCUUCCCAUUCUUACUUCCAGUCGGUGGGGGGUGAACACUGAACAACCCUCUCUCCAUAUCGCCACUCGGGAUUAUUUUCAUUCAAAAAGACACAAGGAAAUUGACCAAACAAACGAGGGAGCAACCGAAUACAAACCACCCCCCAAACAAAUAAUCAAGGUCGGUGCUGCACAACUCAAUCGGACAAUGGCGCUCGUCGACAAUUUCCCUGGAAACCAUCAGCACGGAAGUUCCCGACUCAUGAUGAUCCAGGCUCGUUUCCAGCAGCGCCAGCAGGAGGAAAAAGAGCACAAGCUGUUCGCCAUGUUGGAAGAGCAGCACGACGCGGCCGCGGGAGAUGGGGGCGGCGGUCUCGGCUUGAUACCGGCCACUCGGACGCACAGCAAUGGCAGCAGCAACAGUCAGCAUAACAGUGCCAGCAGCACUGCCUCUCUGUCAUCCUCUAUGGGUUCUUCGCUCGCCUCCUCGCUAGGAUCUACCGGCAGUGGAAUGGCUGUACCAGGAGGUGGAAAGGUGCGGCAGAUGUUCGAAGACCGACGCAAUCAAAUUAACGGCCGGCCGCCCGUCUAUUCCAAGAAUGCCGAGAACCGCAAAAACAUACCUGUGACCACAAGGGGAUGGGACAGAUCGCAUCCACUGGAUCCUCUGCCUUCUAAUAACUCGCAUGACAGGAAUCUCAAGGUUCCUACCGGUCAUAGCCAGCAGCAGCAACGCAGCCGGGCACGUGGUGUUAGUCUGGAGCGUGGAGCUCACGCUUUCGGCGAUGGCCCUUCUGAUAGCAUCCGCCGGAGUAAGAGCCAAUACCAAGUGGACGACGUCCCAGGUGGGAUGAUCCGCAGUCCUAAUAAACGACCCACGCCGUCCGAUGGCCAGCAGUUGCUGAACGUGUCGGCCACUUUGAAACCCAAGAGCAUGACGUCUUUGUUGGACGACAAUCAGAACAACGUCAACAACCAUUCGACCAGCAACAAGACGAUUCCGAGAUUCGGAUACAAUCAGUCGCCCGUGCGAAACCCUUCCCAGCGCUACCAGCAGCAAAAUUACCGGGAAGAUGUCGUGGAUGGCGGAAAUUCAGGAAGAACAGUUGGCCAGCAUUAUCGAGGUAGAAGCCAGACCAACGAUGAAUAUCAAGCAGCUGAUCGGACGGAUGAAUCCUCGAGGCAAGCCGCCAGUCUGGCAGCGGCCGCGGUGGCCGCUGCUGCCGAAACGACCCGUCGUCUAGAGCGCGAAAAAGCGCAGAUUCAAGCGGAAGCCAAACGACGCGAAGAGGAGCUCAUGAACACUAUCAGACAACAACAACAACAACUCCAACGACUUCAGCAAGCUGCUAUGCUGGCUGAACAAAAAGCUAAAGCAGCAGCGGCGGCAACAGCAACAAAUUCACGGCCAACAAGGACCUCUUACCGACCACCGGAUGAGAGUGAUGAUUCGAAAUCAAGCGUUUCGGAUGACGCUGUCAUUUCUCCGCCUAGUUCCAGAGGCUGGAAUCCAACGUCCACUGCCAAAAAACCCACGGUAAAUCGUACCCAUGAAAUGAGUCCCCCACCGUCAGCACCGAAACCGAAAUUGGCACCGAAACCGGUGCUGGAAUCACCGACGCCAACCAAGAGCACUACAACUACAAUGCCUCGCAAAUCGAUUUUUGCGACCGGGCCGUCAGCCGGUGGUAAAGACGGCCUGGUAUCGUGUUCACUGUGCGGCCGCAAUUUCGCUUCGGACCGAAUAGAAAAACACGAAGGCAUUUGCGCCAAAACCAAGUCCAAGAAGCGCAAGGUCUUCGACAUCACCAAGAUGAGGGUCAAAGGCACAGAAGCCGAGAGCUUCGUCCUGGCUCCACCUGGUCGCAAUAACCAACAAAAUGCGCACACGACCAAUAACAAGAAGCCAAUUAGUGUUGGUCAGCACAUUUUGCAACAGCAACAGCAGGCGACAAAAAGUGCUAUUGCUCCGAGUGCCAAGGCAUUGGAGGAUGGCAAGAAAGCCGAUUGGCGCAAAAAGCACGAAUCUUUCAUCGAAGCUAUACGAGCUGCCAAAGCCAUGCAGAAGCAUCUCAAGGCAGGAGGGAAGGUGUCGGAUCUGCCUCCUCCACCGCCGUCUGAUACAAGUGACUACAUUACAUGUCCGUAUUGCCAGAGACGUUUCGCACCAGGAGCGGCGGACAGGCACAUUCCGAAAUGUUCGACCAUUUUAUCCAACAAAAAAACUGUCCGAAAGUAAAACGAUUUUGGGAGUUAGAAAGUGAAGGAGCCACUGAUUAGACGGAACUAACCGCAACGGCAGUCUAGCAAAAAAAAAAAAAAAGUGAAGUAAAAGCAACAAACCAUUAUGUAGCUGUAUGUAUGCGGUAUGCUUUGCCUAGCUACGGAUUUUCUGCAAGGAACGUAUACACAAUAUUCUCUACUAUUUCAUGAAAGCGUCGAUCGCACUAAAAUACAGGAUACAGCCAGCUCCUUCAAAAUAUGACUAACAAUUUAUUUUUAUUUUAAAAUUAAUGGAUACGAAAUACACUAACGGCCGUUACACAAGUGAAAACUUCAAAAUUAUUUGACACAAAUUAAAUCCAAAGUUGCUUCAAUGCGGAAUCGGGUGUUAUAUUGUCCAAUGCUUCCUGAACCAAUCGACAGACAUCACGCCCGACUUCUUCCAUAGUGGCAUCUACAACCUGAAAAAUAUAACAUUAAUCUAAUGGCUCAUGGCUGUCAAUAGGUGGCAGUCAAUAGGUGGCUGAAACUAUGUCCACCAGGUAGCGCGAGUGUGUUCAGCACUGACGCAGAUCGGCCAUUUUGUUUCAAGACGCAGUAGAGAUGGGUUGUUGGUCGUGACGUUUCUCACGAUGAAAAUUAAAAGGUUAUUUAGCUCGUAGAAACCAAUUUGCCAAAUCAUUCAACUCAGGCUUGGAAGUGCCCGUACCUUGCAGAAAUGGCGUGCCUCGUGUGUCUUGCUGCCUCUUCUUAGGCGUACGUCCAUGCAACAGCAAAAAGUAUAACUUAACUGCUUUAACGCUGUUGGUUACCUUGUUGCAGCCAAAUGGGGAAAGGUGUGAUGAAGACGGAUGGAACCAUUGCAUGCAGCAUGCGGUUGCUGUGAUAUUCAGAAGUAGCUGUGCUGGUGUUAUCCUGAAAUUGCUGUGCUGUUGUAGCUGAGCUGUUCCAUCUGGGUUCCUGACUUGAAAAUUUUUGUGUUGUUGUUUGCGUGCCAGUAUUUUGUGUUGUGACUUCAAAUAGUUUGAUCUGUCGUCUUUUGAGUUUUCAUUCAAUCAUGCAGUAUACGACUGAGGCAACCUGAUCAAUGUCAGGUUUGACACAGUCGACAACUGCUAGAUAAAACAAGCUUUCUGCGCCAAACAAAUAAUAAUUUGCAUAUAACUUGCAUCAUAUUAUUAUCGCGGUAGAGAAAGCGACAGGCCCCCCCCCCUGGGGGCCACAGGAAAAAUUUGAAUUCAAAUAUAAAUUUUGUAUCAACUUUGAUUAUGAAUAAACUUUGUAUAUAAUAAAA